CGUGUGGUGUCCGACCUUUGGCUCGGAUAGCGACACGGCCCAAAUCAUUGAGGU
rnacentral:ncRNA from 1 species